AAAUUCACUGAUCUGAAACUAUUGGAUCUUACUAGGAUCCCCUCUUCUCUGUAAUACUCAGGGCCAUCUCCUCUACCUAUUCGGCCAACAGUUUCAGCAUCCAGCAACCAUGGUGACAAAGCUGAGCAUACUGGAACUGCUCUAAGUUUCCACGUUCUCGGCUACAGAGACUCGAUUGUUCCAAGUCGAUGUUGUUGGCGCUAAAACAUAGAAGACUACUGUGCCAAGCUGGAUUUACUAGGAGAUAGAUUCAAAUAUUCGAUGGUGCAUAUCUCAGAUGUUGGUUGCAAGGUCAAGAAUAGGGGUGCUACUAGAUAGUUUCACAUUGUGUCUUAGAAUGCCAUUUCCAGUUCCAAUGUUUCAAUCAUUAUGUAUCUGAUAUUUUUGGUAUCAAUGUUAGAUCAUUAUGUUUCAGAAUGGCUGACACGAAGGUUGCAAGGUCAAGAAUGGGAUUACUACUAG